rnacentral:lncRNA from 1 species
UUUUUUUUUGUUUUGUUUUUUUUUUCUCAUGCUUGGCUUGUUUGGGUUUUAGGUGAUGGUAGUGGAGGGAAGGUGGUGGUACGGCGGUGGGCAUGGCGGUAGUGGGGGGACGGCUAGAUUUUGGAGCUUUUUGCUUGAUUUUUUUGCUCGAUUUUUUCUUUUUGUUUUUUUUUCAUUCCUUUUUUAAUUUGGGAAGGGGAAACCCUUUUAUUUUGAAUAUUUUGCAGGAAGCAGGUGGCUAGGGAGGAGAGGGGCCAUGCCCUAGGCUGGCUGCCAAAAAUCGCGGAGAGCGGGUGCGCAAAUUGCUCCUGGCGGCUGCUAUAAGGACCAAAUUGCAAAUGUAGCAAAACUUCUAGGGCCAAAGUGUAAUUUUGGGAAAAUUUGGGGCCAAAAUGUAAUUUUAGGAAGUUUAAGGUUAAAAUAUAAUUUUUUUGAAAGUUUAGGGUUCAAAAUGUAAUUUUGAAAAAUUAGG